GCAGGAAAACAGACGUGUGGUCUCUUGGCUGUAUGUUGUCUCAUUUACAAGAACCCACCUUUUAGCAAGUUCAGGGACACGAUCGAGAAAAUCAGUGCCAUCGUUGAUGAGCGUCAUGUUAUAGACUUUCCUUUGACGGCUGAUCCGAUGGUUAUAGCAGUUCUAAAAGGCUGUCACGAUCGCAAUCCGCGCAAUCGACCAUCAAUUGAGCAGCUUUUAUCUCAUCCAUAUUUGACAUGUACAAGUCAGUCUCCGGUCCAAUCCUCGAAGAACAUUCCCCCUCAGCUGCGUAUUCAGCUUGAAUUUCUACUAGAAGGUGGUCAACUCACUGAGGAAGUCAAGGAAAAUAUUCGACAAUGGAUGUGAAUUACUUCCAUGAGCGACUUCCUUGCAAGCAAUACUGUAUCAGUCAUCAUUAUCAAAUUCAUCCCAUAUUGUAAUUUAAAUAUUGUUGUAAUAUCAGAUAUACAUAACCCUUUCCCUGCCCUUCAUUAACUAUCUUCAUCUCGCAAUUAUACAGCGUCCGUUUUUUCUUCUCUAUUGCUUUCCAGUUCUGUAUAAAAUAACAUAAGCCAACUUUAACGGUUAUAAAAUAAAAAUAAAGUUAAGCGGC